CAAAAAUGGCUGUCAUCGGCAAACUAAAUUUUUUUAAAAUAAAAUGAAUACAAUUUUGUACUCUCUAUAGACUGAAGUUUAAAAGGUAGAAAAAUAAAAAAUGUUAAAAAUAGUCAAGCAACCGCCUUUGGACCACUUGGCUUGGAUUGACCAUGAGAUAACCUUACACAAAAAACUAAAUAAGUACAAAAAGCUAGACUAAAUACUUACCUACUUCGUUUCUGGCUGCAUGCACUAAUCCGAAAGCCAAAAAAGUUAAAACUUAUGUACCUACACUUAUUUCUUGAUAAUUUUUCUGAGAUAGAAUAUCUCUCAGAGAAAAUCCCAAAUAACCUGAAAUGAUUACCUAUAGUAAGUAAGGUAUGCUUUAUUGUCAAAAAAUUUUACCAAUUUGUGGACAAAGCUUAUACAAAAUAAAAAAAUACAAUAAAAAACAAAAAAUAAUAAAAAACUACAAACAAAACAAAAACAGAAACAGACACCAAGUAAAUGGCGUGAGUUAUACUACUUAAUAUAAUUUUAUAGUUAUUAAGUACACAUUAAAAAAUUAAAAAUUUUGCAAACAAUAUGUAUACAACGUCAGAGCAAAAAGAAGGCGAACGAGGAAAAGGGAAAGAGAAAGUAAAUCAAAAGUUCUGUGCCGCUGCAAAUAUGUAUAAAAAUACUCGAAAGUAAUAAUCCUGCAAGUCAAUUUGCUGAAUUCAAAUCGUUUAUAAAAAAGUCAUUCACUGUAUAAAAAGCUCUCUCCAGCAAAUAAGCUUUCAAGGCCUUGCGAAAAGCGGGAAAUGCUGCAAUAGAUUUGAUGUUAGAUGGCAGGUGAUUGUACAUUUUUCUCGAAUUGUAUAGUAUAGAGCACUUAACCAGCUCAGACCGUGGGGUUGGCAGAUAAAGAUUAUGCUCCACGUUUCUAAGGGAAUAGUUGUGAGUGGGUCUCUCUGGACCUUCUGAUGCAUGUUUGCGGAUUAAACAAACGGAUUCAAAAACAAACAAAGAAGGAAGAGUUAAUAUUUUAAAUUUUUUAAAGAAUUCUUGGCAAUGAACUCUGCUAUUGAGUAUCAGGGAGUAACGAAGAGCUCUCUUUUGUAGUUUAAAAAUACGCUCAAAUUGAGUCGCACAACACGUACCCCAAAAUGGAAGGGCGUACCGAAGAUGAGACUCAAAAAGGGCAGAAUAAACGGUCCUAGAUGUUGACAAAUUCAUUUCCGUAGCAACUGAUCUUAGCGCAAAAUAAGCAGAACUUAAUUUUUUGUGUAAGGCAUCAAUGUGCAAGUUCCAUUUUAGAGACUUAUCCACAAUUAGGGCUUACAAUACCGAGCCAAAAUCUCAAUACCGGUAGGUAUUUGGUAUUUAAAAUUUCAAAUACCGGGAUACCGGUAUUAAAACCGGUAUUAUGAAUAAAAAAUAUACACGUUAUAUUUAUACUAUCGUCAGUUGUUAUAUCGACUUGUUAUUAAAUAAUAUAUGAAACCUAUUAUAUUUUGUUUUGAAAUGAGUAGAUGUUGUUUAUAACAUUACAUAGAGAGUAGGAAUAGAUAGAUACAAAAAAUGUGCAAAUAGAAAAACUAAGUAUAUAUUUGAUUCUAUGAUAAAUUUUGCAUAUAAUAGGAUAGUACUUUUACUUAUUAUUUGCUAUUUUUGUAAAUUAAUUUAACUUUAAAAUAUAUUAAUACAAAAAUUAACUUACUGUGACAAAUAUUUUAUAUGGAUUACUCUGUAUUUAGACCGCUAUAUAUUUUCAAUUAUUAUUAAUAAUUUAAAAAAUGAGUGAGCCUAAUUUAUACACCACAAUACACAAAAAAAUGAAAAAUAAAUCUGAAAAUGUAAAAAGAAUUUUGAUUAAUAAAUCUUACGGCUUAUUUAUAAAAUAAAGUAGUCUAAUUUUAAAUAUUUAAGAAUUUUUAUAUAACUCAUUUUAUGUAUUUGUAUAGACAAAAUUUAAUAAUUUGGUUGUAGAAGCUGAUAUAACCCUUCGCCUUAAAUUAUAACGACAUUCACGCUUUUAGAAAGCGCUAUACCUAACUUGUAUGUGUAAUAAAAGUGUUUAAUAAAUAUUUUUUACAAUGUAAUUGGUUGUUUAUCUUCAAAAAUAAUUUCUUGUAAUAGCAAAAAAUAUUUUAGAAGAAAGUUUAUUGUGCAUCAAUUCACUUUUUAUAAAUUAAGCUAAUACCGAAAUACCGGUAUUUUUAUUAUAAAUACCGGUAUCGAAUACCGGAAAAAAUCGUCCGGGAUCCCGGUAUUCGGGAUCCCGGAAUCCCGGUAUUGUAAGCCCUAUCCACAAUAAGCCCUAAGAACUUCACCGAUUCAACUACCUCUAGACUCUAGACUGUUGUUAUUAAGUACUAAAGGUUGCAUCAUACUGUUGUAAGGUAGGACUUUGGUUUUAGAAACGUUAAAUAAGAGGAGAUUCGAAUCGCACCACAAUUUAAUGGUGACUAGGUCUGUAGCUAUGGUAUUGCGAAGAUCCAUAAUAUCUGUGUUACUCCAAGUAAUACUAGUAUCAUCUGCAAAGAGACAUAUUUUACCUUUAAUGUUCAGACUAGAGAUGUCAUUUAUGUAUAUCAGAAACAAUAUAGGGCCUAGAACUGAACCCUGAGGUACCCCACAUUCUAAUGGCAUGCAAGAAGAUGUCUUCGUGUCAACCCUUACAAACUGACUUCUUUUAUUAAGAUAUGAUUUAAGCCAUUUAAGAGCCUUUCCCCUAAAUCCAUAGUGCUGUAAUUUGUCAGUCAAGAUGUUAUGGUUUACACAAUCGAAUGCUUUAGAGAAAUCACAGAAAAUUGUUGCUGUAGAGUGAUGGUUGUUUAGACUGGAGUAAACAUGAUCGAAAAGGAAGAACAUAGCAUCAUUCGUGCAUUUUUCACUCAGGAAUCCAAAUUGAUGUGGAGUAAGCAAUUUGUAUUUCAACAGAAAAGAUAAGAUUUUUUGUUUUUUUUACCAGACUUUCAAUUAUUUUCGACAACGUGGGCAGGAGUGCAAUAGGGCGAUAAUUCGAAGCAAGAUCUUUAUCGCCUCCCUUGUGUAUAGGAAUAAUUAUCGCUGUCUUAAGGCAGCUUGCAAAAACCCCAGUUUCGAAUGACCUGUUUAUUAAGGUAGUAAGAUGGUUUAAAGUGCAAUCAGGUAGAGCAGAAAACAUUUUAAGAGUGAGGCCAUCAGUCCCAGAUGACGAUUUAUUUUUAAUGUCAUUUAUUGUAGAGCGUAGUUCACCUAAUACUAUGGGUGUAAAAAAGAAACUAUGUAUUUACAUUCCUAUGAGAAAGAUAUGAAAUCGGAUCCUGAGAAGGAGGCUACUUAUAUAUACCUUAUCUAUGGAAGGAGGUAUAGUAUUUGUUAAAUUUUUUGCCACAUUUACAAAGUAAUUGUUCAGGGUCUCAGGAGAAGUCGGGAUUGUGGUGGGAGAAGAAGUCUUAUCUCUCAGUUCAUUUACGAUAGACCACGUUUCCUUAUCAACAUUACCUGAUUUAGCCAGCCUCGCAUUGUAAUAAAUUUCCUUGGCGACCUUUAUGGCUUUAUGGUAAAUUUUCUUGUAAAGCCUAACGUAAUCAUGGAAGGAUAUGUUGUCCGAGAAUUUUUUUAGGUACGAUAAUGAGCGCAUGUUCUUUGCAGAUAUACGUAGACCUCUAGUUGACCAGGGUUUACGAUGUUUAGUUUUGAUGGGCCUAAGAGGAAAGGAUUCGUAUGCCAGACCAGACAACAACUUUAUGAAUCUAGAAAACUCGAUGUCGACAUCAACAGAGCGGAAGUCCCAGUCAGUUGUUUGACAUAGGUGUUUAAAUGUUAGAAAAUUUUGUUCUCCAAAGACACGGAACAAUUUUCGUUGUGUGUUUUCACUACUAUUUUUUGAUUUUAACCAAAAUGUAGUCAAUACUGCUUCAUGAUCAGAGAAACCUGAGUUGAAAACAGUACAGUCAGUAGAAUUUGGAGCUAAAGACGAUAUAACUCCAUGGAAGCAAUGGAAGCAUUGCUUCCCUAGGUUUCCGUAGCAAUACUGUACCAACUGAGUAAAACUGAGAAGAAUAUUUUUAACAAAAAAUAAUUUUUUAAACACGCGUAAGCAGCCUUUUAAGUUGCAUAUGCAUACGAGAAUAUUCGCUAGUACGACCAGCGAGCAAUAAGAUAAGACAAACGUAUUUACUCUAUGUUUGUCAUACCGUAAAAUUUACUACAGUGAAAUAAUGUAAACGUAUUUCGUAUAUCCAGCGCUGCAGAUCUAUCCUUCGUAUUUCGAUGAUCGUAUUUCUGCGUGGGUAGUCGGAGAUUUCGGGAUAAUCUCUUUUCAGAGUUGCUUCUCAUUAGGCAAUCCAAACCACGUGACCUCUGGUUGGCACACAAACUAACAAAGAGGUUAUGUUUGCAUCUAUUUUUCAUUGUUUAUCGUCGUAUUUUGGAUUCAUUUGGAUUUCGUUUCCUGUUUUUGUGAACUUUAUAAACUUUACCACAAUGCAAACUGAUUAUUUAAGGAAAUUAUUAUUGGAAACUCCAGAUGUUGCGAGAAAGGUAGGCGAAACAAUUUUUUUUACUGUUCAUUUUGCCCCGAUAUUUAUCAAUAAUGAUGAAUUUUGCAAGCAAUAACAUUAUUUCUUUUAUUGUUCUAGAUAUUUAUUGAAGCUGAAAAUAAUUGGGGAUUUAGAUCCAUACGCAAUUCAGUCAGAAUUAGAUUUUACAGUAAAGUGCAGUCCAUCAAGUUACUAUUAUAGAUAUUUAUACAUAUCUGGUGGAGUCUGAUAUGUCACAGUUGCUACUCUAAGCAGCAGAUGAAAGCAUACAAAAGCCUUCAGGCACAUAAAUAUUUUACAGCUGGAUUUGUUUUGAAUGGAGUAAAAAUUGUUAAUGAUUUCCUGAUUUCCAUAUUAUUGUCGGAAAGGUGACGCAUUUCCAAAAAUCCAAUGCUAAACGACUAAAUGCUUGGGUGGGGUGAUAGCCAGUUCUGAUGACAUAGCAAAUUCACAUUGUAUGCGUAUGGCCGGUAAUAGUGAAGUCUGCAGCCAUAUUGCAGCAAUCCUAUUUUUAGCUUAGUAUGCUCAGGGCAAGACAGACGAAGAACCCAAUGUAUGUACAUAUGUUACAGCUACAUGGUUUGGAGAUAGCAACAUAUGCAUUCUCUGAUGAAAAACUAAUGAGUUUUGAAACUGUUCGGUCAGAGUGCUUGUUGCGCUCACUAAACGAAUUGAAAUAUAAGAUGGCUUUGGCAUUGUGUUGCAGCGAUAUGAAAAUGGUUAUUCAUUUUUAAUUAUAAUGUACUUCUUCAUCAUGAGUAAUUAUGUAUUGGUCUUUUAAAUGUGUAUUUAUUUUUGUAAUUAGUAUCAAGUUGUAAUAAUAAUAUUCAUUUAUCGUUUAAGGUAUGACUAUGUUUUGACUCUAAAAUAAAUGUUUUAAAAAUCGAAUCCUGCCUCUUUCUGUUAGUAACUACCCAUGGAUAUCACAAAUUGUGCUUACUGAUAGGUUUGUUCGUAGAACGAUCAGCAACUCUUGCCAACCAUCAGACACAUGUGCAUUCGUAGUCUAUGAAUGCUAACUAUUAACUGCACAACGCUAACUGUUAACUGCUCAUGCAUCUGAUGGUUGGCAGCAGUUGCUAAUCGUUUGUGUCGUACUAUGAACAAACCUAUUAGGUCUGGAUCCCGUGUACCAAAAAAAUUGAUUAAUAGCAAGCUGAACAUUUGUUAAUAGCUUAACGGUGUCCAGUUGGACAAACUUUGAUGUAUUGUGACACUGGAACAGGGGUAGUUUUAAUUGUGAAACAGUUUGGAAACUCAGAUUUGGAACAUCAGAUUACAAAAACAUCCCAUAUAUUUUGUCGGACAGAACAUCCAAUUGAUCUGUUAUCCUUUCAUUAAAUUCUCAUGCAAAAAUCAGACUGCUAUUACUAACCAACAUGAUUCCUGUAGUUUGACAUGGUCUUCGUGUUCUACUCAUUAAAAUGCCCAGUUGGUGAUUUUUUCACCAGUCUGGUUUUUGCAUGAGAGUUUAAUGAAUUGGUAGCAAAUCAAUUGGAAGUUUUAUCUGACAAAUUACAUAAACAUUUUCGUAGUUUGACGUUCCAAAUUUUUAACCUGUUCCACAGUUAAAACUUCCAGUGUUCCCGUACAUCAAAGUUUGUCGGACUAGACACCAUUAAGCUAUUAAUAAAUUUUCAGCUUGCUAUUAAUCAACUUUUUUUUGGUACGCGGGAUCCAGGUCUAUAUGGAAUAAAUAAAUAACAAAACAAAUUCCCUGUCAAAACUGCAUUUAUUUUGAAUAGAAUGAAAAACAAAAUAAUAUUGUUUUAACAAAAUAGGGGAUAAAUGUUAAAAUUUAGUACUAUUAAUAAAGUUUGUCACAUUGGCCUAAAAAUGAAUGUCACUAGUUACGUUAGUGUCACAUAUAAAUAAUUGUAAUAAUAUUAAUAAAAACCAUAAUUCCUAGCAUGAGUGCGUCCUGUUAUUUGACAAUUUAGUUAGGUGAGGAAACAUAAAUGAGUUUCUAAUACGGCUUUUCAUCGAUUGUCAUUUGUUUCGAGCUUCUGUCAGAUGUUGUAUAAUCCGUGUAUAAUAUUACUAUACACGGAUUAUAUGAUAGAAGCUCAAAACAAAUGACUGUGAAUGAAAAGCCCUAUAGAGGGAACACGAAAAAAAAUAACAUUAUCCGAUCAGCUCGACUUCCACAGUUCACUACUAUACAGAUUACAGGCAUGUUCUCAGCACUUAAAAUCACUACAAACGAAAAGUUUAUAAAAUAAUCAAUCUAAUGAAUGUCUUUAAAUACUAUAUUAAGCUCAAAAUCACGACAAAAAACAAAUUAAAAUUAACAUUAUUCUGAUCAGUCGGACUUCCACAGUUCACUACUAUACAAGUCACAGGCAUGUUGUCAGCACUCAAAAUCACCAAAAACGUAAAGUUUAUAAAAUAAUUAAUCUAAUGAAUGUCUUUAAAUACUAUAUUAAGCUCAAAAUCACGACAAAAAACAAAUUAAAAUUAACAUUAUUCUGAUCAGUUGGACUUGCACAGUUCACUAUUAUACAAGUGACAGGCAUGUUGUCAGCACUCAAAACCACCAAGAACGUAAAGUUUAUAAAAUAAUUAAUCUAAUGAAUGUCUUUAAAUACUAUAUUAGCUCAAAAUCAGGACAAAAAACAAAUUAAAAUUAA